rnacentral:rRNA from 1 species
AGAGUUUGAUCAUGGCUCAGAAUCAACGCUGGCGGCGUGCCUAAUACAUGCAAGUCGAACGCGAAGACCCCGCAAGGGGUUUGUAGCGUGGCAAACGGGUGAGUAACGCGUGGGCGACCUGCCCUCGAGUGGGGGAUAACCUUCCGAAAGGAGGGCUAAUACCGCAUGACAUCCCGUGUUUGGAUACACGGAUAUCAAAGCUGGGGAUCGCAAGACCUGGCGCUUGAGGAGGGGCCUACGUCCGAUUAGCUAGUUGGUGAGGUAACGGCUCACCAAGGCGACGAUCGGUAUCCGGCCUGAGAGGGCGGACGGACACACUGGGACUGAGACACGGCCCAGACUCCUACGGGAGGCAGCAGUAGGGAAUUGUUCGCAAUGGGCGCAAGCCUGACGACGCAACGCCGCGUGGAGGAUGAAGACCUUCGGGUCGUAAACUCCUUUCGACCGAGAUGAACACUCACCGACCUAACACGUUGGUGAGCUGACAGUACCGAGGGAAGAAGCCCCGGCUAACUCCGUGCCAGCAGCCGCGGUAAUACGGGGGGGGCAAGCGUUGUUCGGAAUUACUGGGCGUAAAGGGUUCGUAGGUGGCCAACUAAGUCAGACGUGAAAUCCCUCAGCUUAACUGGGGAACUGCGUCUGAUACUGGUUGGCUUGAGUGCAGGAGAGGAACGCGGAAUUCCAGGUGUAGCGGUGAAAUGCGUAGAUAUCUGGAGGAACACCGGU